AUUGCACGCUGGCGGCAGGCCUAACACAUGCAAGUCGAACGAGUGGCGGACGGGUGAGUAAUGUCUGGGAAACUGCCUGAUGGAGGGGGAUAACUACUGGAAACGGUAGCUAAUACCGCAUACCAUCAGAUGUGCCCAGAUGGGAUUAGCUAGUUGGGGGGGUAACGGCUCACCAAGGCGACGAUCCCUAGCUGGUAUGAGAGGAUGACCAGCCACACUGGAACUGAGACACGGCCCAGACGCCUACGUGAGGCAGCAUGGGGGAAUAUUGCACAAGUGGCGCAAGCCUGAUGCAGCCAUGCCGCGUGUAUGAAGAAGGCCUUCGGGUUGUAAAGUACUUUCUGCGGGGAGGCGUUACCCGCAGAAGAAGCACCGGCUAACUCCGUGCCAGCCGCCGCGGUAAUAC
rnacentral:rRNA from 1 species